rnacentral:lncRNA from 1 species
CAAAAUUUAGAGCUUACUGUGCCUGGACCUGAGAUACAGAAGAGGAAAAAUUACAAACCCAAGAGGGUUGGAGCAAGAUGAAUCUGACUGCAUUUUAUCUCUGUAUUAUUUAACUCUAGGUGAGUAAAUUGGUGCUGAAAUAAUUGUACAUGUGGCAUAGGAGUGCUGAUACUGCUAACCACACUUCCACUUUUCAGUGUAGCAGCUUAUCUGAGCUUGGUCCCAGUGGUUAGUUUUGGGCUCAGGAGAUAGCAUGGUAACUGGUGUGUGGUAUGCACAAAGCAUGCUGCCAGCUUGAGUUUCUUUUUUAUGGUGUUUAAUUUUUGUAUUACCAUAAUUGAAAACUGCCUGCAUUGUUUCCUGAAACCUAGGGAGAGGCAAGACAGUUGCCAAAGUAACAUCAUCUUUACAUUUCACCAAGUUACCGUAAUGCAAUUGCCUUGCUCUUAACGUCUUAAAAGAGUAGUGAAAUGGAAUUUUACUUCAGAGGAGAAAAUAAGUGCAGGUUGCAAAUAGAACAGGAUUCCGUGCCGUUAAGUAGAUUAUACUCCUGUCAGGGUACUCCAGAUUUUACAGACACAAAUCUGAAUUUAACAUAUGGCCCCAGCCCUAGGCCAGGGUCCUGUUUGAAUUAUUCCAGGCUUGAACGUAGAAAGCUGUGCUCCAAACAUGAAUCCAAUUACCAGCUGUAGUCAGGCAAUUGAACGGCCACAGAAGAAAUACUCUAAUAGAUGGGGGGGAAGGAAGGAGGGGGAAGAGAGGGGAGAGGACUAUGAUUUGUGUGGUAAUCAAGAAGAGAAGGUCAAUUGUAAUAGAACAGGCUGGUUUAGAAGACAAAGCUAAUGCAGGAUGCCUUCCACUGUGUUGAGGGAUGCUAUCAAUAGAUCUACUGCUUUCAUUACAAAAAAUGUCACUAACUGACAAGAUGAAUAUAGGCAGGGAAAGAAGGGCUUUUGAUGGAUCAGGUGAUUAAAACCUAGACUGCAAUUAAGAAACGCCGCACUGAUGACCUGCACAGGAACUUAAGAAUAUGAAGGGAGGAAUGGAGAAGGUGCGGCAGUGUGCACACAUGCAGCUGUUUUUGAUUGAUGACACUGGAUAGGCUUUUAAGCAUGUUUCAAACUACUGUAAAGUACUGAAUAGAAACACCAAAAAUGCCCCUGAAAGUGUAUGGUUUUGUUAACUGUGUUACUGCAAUUUGAGCAGCUAGCAUUCUGCUUUUCUAGAGGCGGCAGGACCAGAAAUGAAUACCUAUUGAUCACUCUUUGUAAGAUGACUGUGCACAAUAGCUGCUCAGGGCCUGCCUUUGAAGCGUCUGCUGUGUCAGCCCACGAAUUAUACGUUUCAGCUGCUCAAUUACUGACAGCAGCCUGGGCAGCUGACACUCUGACUCCUAGAAAAUAUAUUGGGUUUUUUCCUCCCCGUCUCAAAAGAUCAGGAUUUCUGAAGAGAUCUUAAGAAGUACUUUCUGCUAAGUUUGAGAAACGUCAGCUAAACAUUCAGUGCCCUUCCCUGCUCUGCAGAUCAACCUAUAAAUCAGAAGGACAAAGUUCUUGGUUACUUAUAUUUUGUUUACUGCUGUUUACAUAAUGUUAUAUGUGAUUCUUGAGAAAUGGUAAAUGAGCUAAGACUUUCAUCAGUUUUAAAAUGCUGGCUUUGAUCAAUGAGAAGAACUGAUGGUCAAAAAGCUUCUAGAGCAGUGAACAUUCAAUUUAUGGCUGAAAGAAAUGCUAUGGAUUUCUUGAAAUAUUUCUGGGACUUUAAUUAAAUCUUUCAUAGCAUAAAGUGCUGAACUACGACAUUUAGGGGAACAUAAGAAAACGCUUUGCUGGAAACAUCUGCAUUUUCUUUUCAGGAGAAAACAGCUUUUUUAAAAAGUGGGGCAACAGAAGUUAUAAUGAAAUGUCGAAAGCUAUUUAUUCUAUAAAAGCAUAUGGUGUUAAUGUAUCCAUCAGUGCUGAUAAAUCCAUCAUGGCUUAAUCUGUUGUGCUCAGUGAGGUAACAGGACAAGAAACAGCCAUCUGCUUACCAUAUUUGAUUGCUGUUUCUUUGCACAAAUACAGUCCUGCUUUCAGCACUUAAGAGUGAUUAGCUGUAACUUAUGGAGCUUGCUGUGGCUUACCCACUGAGUAAUUACUGGAGAAAGCAAUUGCAAGAGCAUCUGAACAUGGGGGCAAAUUGUUAGCAACUACAUUUGUGACAAGUUUAAGGUCUAAAAAAUCUUCCUACAAGUGUGCCAUAAGGGAAAGAGAAAAAAGGGCAGAGCACAGUCUGUAGAGGAUAGGGAUGUCUAUUACAGAUAUUUUCCAAAGCCUAACCCGCAAAAGCUUGAAAAGCCUGAUUUCAUUCCCCUCCAAGCCCCCAAGGCAAAACAGUCCUUGAUUAAAAAAAGGGGAAAGAUUUUAAUUGCUCUUUCUCUUGUGUUCUGAGCUGGGUAAUUUAUUUUUCCAGUAGCUGCGCCGGUUCAGGGAUGGGGCUUUAUGCUACAUCUCCCUCCCUAUGCAAACCUGGGGCUGGGAUGGAGACCGGUGCUGAGACAAAAGCUUCUGUCCCACUGCUUUAAUAGGUCAUUUUAUUUAGCACAUUAAAAGGAGCUAGUCCUUCUUCUUCUUCUUCUUUUUUUUUUUUUAAUGGUCAUUUUGGAGAGACCUACUCCCCAAACCGAACCUUCGUGCAUCCCCAUCCUGUCCUGGCAUUUCAUCAGCCAAACGUUUGUUUACCCAGUGCCAAAUUAAAUGUAUAGCGAAAGAGAAUUCAUUUAGAAGAACAACCUAAGAUACUCAGAACAAGCCCAGAGUGCCUCUUCAAACACUGAUUUUGUCCUAUUUUAGUCCUUAAGUAGCAUUUGAGGUUUUCUUAUAACUACUUAUGACACUUAAGGCAAUUUUCUUUUUGAUUGCCUAUAACCCUUCUACUUUUGCAGCAUUCUACUACCUUUUCUCUCUACCACUAACGACCCCAAAUCUCCUCCUUUUUUGCCCCCACUAUUGCUCUAAGGGAAAAUUAAUACAAAACUUUAUCUUGCCUGUCACUGGGCUUUCCUCCAAAAAAAGUCUUAACGGUGACUUUAGAAUUGCGUUGGCCUGACACAAAAAUUAAUUUCUCUUAAAUGCAUGAUGUAGCUCACUGAAGUGCUUUGGGAUAUGUGCGAGAUUUUAGAUGUCAUGCAAAUAAUGUAUGUGUAUUUUACCUCUCUGAUAAGAGUCAUCUCUAUCUCAAGAUUGUGCUCUCUUUGAUCACUGAAAUAGACUUCCUCCUGAAGCAAGGGUAACCUUCAACCAAACAAAGCUUUUAGAACUGCAGCCAUGUUUGAGGGACUGCCUCGAGGGGUUUUUGGGAGAUAAGACAGGUCUUUUGCAGUGCAAGGUGAGGCUGUGAUCCUGCCUUUUGUGUAGUUCUGCCCACAGAAAGUCACUUAGAACAUAGUGGUGAAGAUUUUCCUUGGUGCUCUUGGGCUGCAUAGCCAGAGCACACCUCAGCCAAAUUUAGGUGGAUGGCUGAGGGUGGCCUGAGGUCCAUCUGCUGGGGUGUUCUCUCUCCAAAAAGGUGGUUAAGCUCAAAAAAGGCAGAAUUGUGAUGGAACAUAAAAAUAAAGACUGCUUUUUCACAUUAGGGUGAAUUAAAAAUGUCUGAAUAUAACUGAGAAGGAAGGAAGUCAAAAAAAAAAAAAAAAAAAAAAAAAAGGAGUGUUUGUCAUGCCAAUUUUCAGCCCAGUCGGUUAUAGCAAACUCAGAACAGCCUUCUCUGUUUUCAGAGGGGCUUUCUUGCCCCACUGAGUCUCAACCUCUCUCUGUGGCAGCUGCUGCCCCCCAGCCCCUUGCAGGGAUCCUUGCUCUCUCCAUCCCAUGGUCGGCUGCUCCCCAGGAAUGGACAUAACUUGCCUUUUCCUCCUGAAGGGAGAAACACAACCUGUGGGCACACAUCUACAAACAACUAUGCCAGAUAACCAAAACUUCAUCAGUAGGUUUCUUUCUCAAUAGAAGGAGCCCAGCCAGGCUCAAAUGUUGGCUAUCUCUUGGGUCCAAAAACAAUCAAUCAACUUGCAAGCAAGCAUCUCCAGAGGCGCAAACAUGCUGUGUCAGUGCAACUCCAGAAGUUCAAAGCUAAUACAAAGAUGUCCCACAUAUUCAUUUGAAAAUAGAUCCUAGAGGAAGAUGUUUGGUCCUAGCUUAAUGUCUGCUGCAGUUAAAAAAGCUAGGAAGAGCAGUUAGAGUUUACUGUUGCAGUAAAAUCCAGAUUCUGACUGUUCCAGAGCAACCAGAUCUCUUUAAAUGUACUUAAUUCUGUAGCAUGUGCUCAUUCUAAGUAUUUUUUUUUUCUACUUCAUACAUUUUUUGAGUGAAGGUUUAAUCCUGUGCAAUCUAGAACAAAUGGGAAGAUGUUUUCCCCAGGCUAGUCCUCACUUUGCUUCAUGAUAAGCCCUUUUCCUUCAAAGCAGCUGAAUUUUCUUUCCACGCGAUGAAAUGCUGCAGUACUAAUUCCAUCGUUGCUUUAAGAGCUGGAGUCACCAACAGAGAGUGAUUGUGUUGUUGUUCUUUACCAUCGCUAGGAAGUGGUGACUUUUGUUUGCUACUGUUGUUGACUGGAUUUGUGCCAGAGCCAUACAGCAAAUUAAAUAUUAUACAUCACCCAUAUAACCCCUGGCUAAUUUAGAUCCAAAGUAAUUGCUUUUAGAGUAAUUGAUUUACAUCUAUAGCUGAUACUUCUGCGUGUCUUUUGUUGUUUUAAUUAUCUAAUGAUCUGAUUGUGCAAGCAGUACAGGAAAAAAUCUUCAUGUUUAUUUGCUUUUGAAUCACAGAAAGUCAACAAUUUGAAGACCAGAGAUUUGCAGUCCAAAUUAUGUAGGACCUUUAACCUGGUCAUCAAUUUGACUUGCACAAAUCAACAUGCAUUUUUAAGUACAUACAUUACACUUAAGUAAUAUCCUCUACUGUGCUGCAAAUGAAUACUUAAGUUCCCUGCUUUAUUAUGUGAUCAUAGGAUUUGUUUUUUGACAAAGAAUGAAUCUGCGUACUAUUUUAUUAAGGAAAAUGCAAGAGUGAGGAAAGGCUGGUAUUUUUUGGAGGUAUUGUGAUUUGGUAUUUGAAAGUGGGGAUUAUUUGACAUAUAAUCAUUGCAUUUGAGAAUGUAGGAUGCAAUCAGUUCUUAGCUGAUUACUUUCACUUGUUUAUUAUUAGUAAUUUGUAAUUCAGCUUCUUCUAGUAUAACAAGUUAGUGUCUCAGACAUGACUACAACAGAGAAAAAUGUCACAAAAGAGCAUAGGAUGUGUGGAAGGAUGGAAGGUGAUAUCAUUUCAUUCCACCACUGUUGGCUGCAGAAUCUGCUCAUGAUGACAGGUGGAAAGCCUGUCAUCAGCAGGGGGCUGGAAGUUGGAAAUCCAUUUGCAGGCCAGUCCCCAGUAAUUACGUGAGUUUGAAGAUGAGAAGGCAAAAAGUUGAUGACGCUUUUGUGGAAAUCAGAGCUGAAUGGACUGAAAUCCACAGGGAAACUGAAGAUGUGAAAGAGGACAGUUAGGGUGAGAGAAGGAGUGAAGGUGAUACCAAAAAUAUUCUAUGAAGUACACGAACCACACAGAAAGCAAACUGUUUUGACCUUCUGAGAUAUCAAAAACAUUAAAAAGGGGAGGUUCCUUCAAGCACCUUGUCAGUAAUCAUAUCGGAGGUAAUCUAAACUUUCACUACAUUGGAAUUCAUUGUAAUCAUGAUCCAACAAACAUUUCUGGAGGAGAUUGGCAAGACAUUUUCUCUGGCAAUAUUCUAAGUCAUAUUUUUUUGUUGUUGCUGGGACAUGGGAUGUAUGUGAGCAAAAUAAGGCCUAUCGUUGUCAGAGCCUCUGAAUUUGGUCAGAUUCCUGCAGAUUAUGUUCCUGCUACAGAAGAGAUCUGAUAGUAUUUCCUCUCUUCUUGCUCUCUCCCAUGCAGCUUUCUGUUAUUUGCACAGAAGGAAGGAUGUAAUUGUAAUUUACACCAAUAUUGGACUUUUCACAACAAUCUAGUGCUGAUUUUCUAAAGAUGCUUUUCAGCCCUACUGCUAUUUAAUUUCUUUGGCCUUUUAAGUAGCUGCAAGUAGCUUUAUGACCACCAAAACCUUCUCUGUCCUGUACAGUGUCCCUUCCAGAAAAUUAUAUGCAUAUUGCUACCUACUUUAUUGGUGUUAAAUUAGCUAUAGCUUAUAUUUAUAUUAUUAUCUUUGUAAAUAUAUUUUUUUCUGCUACUUCCCAUUGCUGUAUGCUGUAUAUACUGUUUUACAAGGUUUACAAACUGCUUCCAUAACUGUAAAAUCCAUGAAACUAAGAGUUUAAAAUAGAGUCACAUAGUGCUUUGAAAAAGUUGCUCUCAUUUUUAGUAGUUUGUCAGGUAAUCAAUUUAAAGGUCUUGUAUACUGCCUUUUCAAUGUGUAGGUAUAACUCUUGUAAGCAUUAAUAGGAGUUACAUUUCCUAUUCACUGGAGACCAUAUUUAAUUUGCUUCUCAUUCUUUCAUCACGUAGAUUACAGUAACCUGAAGUAGGUUAAAAAACUACAGUAUAUUUGCAAGUAUUUUCAAUAUUCCAUUUUAGCAACCUUGUUUUAAAAUUUAUUCUAGCCUGAGAAGUGGAAAGUAUUGAUUUUAUCACAUCUGUUUCCUAGUAACAUGUUCAAAGAUAACAUGGCACCCUCUCUGGGUUUUAUUUCAUAACUAAUAUAUUUAGAGGAACAUAAAUCUGACUCUCUGCAUUGAUUACCCACCCCAGGGAAAAAGACUCAGUGGAUUAAAAUUCUGACACAGGAAGCUCCUGAGGGAGCUGCUGUCAGAGCAACUGUCUGGGCAAAUUAGAGGUGUGCCCAAAGCAGGGUGAGCAAGCAGAGAGCUCAGAGAUCUGUGGGCAUACCAAAACCAAAACCCCAGCAGUUUUAAGAAGAAAAAAAGAUUUUGAACACAGUCUCGAAAACCCUGGAUUAAAGAGAUUGAAUUUCACCCUGCAGCAAAUGAGCAUGUAGUAUGUCUCCCUGCUGUCUUGCAUCAGUGCUGAAAUUGGUCUAGACAUCUGGAGGCUACUACGUUAUCCAGAUUUUCCUAAAUUUUCUAUAUAUAGUAUAUAUACAAAGACUUUUAGAUGGACAACCUUGUGUUCUUUCAUAGUUAUGAAAAUCUUUUGUGUUUCAGCUGCACUUUUGCACAGACAGAGGUUUCUUUAGCGAGACUGAGGUUUAGACAGAUUUUUUGGUAUAAGAAUAUGGAAGAAGACAACCAAGUGAGUUCCGUUGCUGUUAAAAUUGUAAAGAACCAGUAUUAAGACUUCAGCAAAUCUGCCACAUAAGUAACGCUAAUAAUUUUAGAGCUUCCUACAGACUCCAUUUAGGACAAUAUGCUUGUAAAGGCUGUCAGAUCUUACCAAUGGAAAUUCAAUGAAAGCCAUAACAAUUUUACAGCUUAACAACUCCACAGUCAUUUUCAGGCACUUGAUAUCACAUGUGAUUAUUUAAGAGUAUCUUACUUUUCUUUUGGUUCACAAAGAAAAAAUAUGCAUUUGCUAGCUAACUUUCCAUCCCUGCCUUGGAGCUUGACUGAUCAUUUCUUUCAUCAGAGGUCAUCUGCGCUUCUAAAAAUGAAACCUGUGUGGCCAUUGUUUGUUCAGUUGUUGCAUAUUAGCUCCUCAGUGGUUAAAAAGAUCUGAACAAAUAAGAGGGCUUACCCUACAUUAUAUUACCCUUUAUUAGUAGGAAAUUGAAGUCUAGAGAUUAUUAUUAAGCCUCAGCCACUGAAGGCUACCCAUAGUCUGAUAAAGACCCCUCGAACUGACCCUUGAUCAGGCUGCAUUAGGAGGAUUUUACCCUUGUUACUAAUUAAACAAACAGAUCUGAUGGUAUUAUUCUUUUUCAUAGCCGUUUCAUGACAUCAGCUCUCCCCAGCACCCAUGGACAAAGAGAAUCAUGUUCCUCUUUGAGAUGCAACGGUAUAUUAAGGGCCUGACACUGGGCCAUCCAGUGCUCAGUUGCCCUGUUAUGUUUAACACAGUGGUGUAUCAGGUGUCAAAGGGCUUCUCAUUGAAGUUUGGGGGAAUAAAGACAAAGUUUCCAUUAAAAUAGAAACUUCACAGACUUUGUUUUUCAGAUGGAAGAAAAGCAACUUAAUGUCUGCCAGAGAAUGGAGGAAGGAAUAGCUUGCUGAAUCAGAGGCAUAGGCAUAAAGAAAGGGUGUUUGGGUGAUUUAAGUGCCUUUCAGUAACUUUACUCACCUUUUUACUAAGACUGCAUCUUUGCAGAUUAGUUUCUUCGUUUCCAGGUAGGUAUAACGUUAAGGUAAUGAACCCUUCAAAUUCUGCAGUGUUGCAGAUGGAAAUUUCAUUUUGAAGGGCAUAAUCUCUGUACCAACAUGACUUAAAAGUAAACAAAUUCCAAGCAGUGUAUUUAUUAUUUUGUGGGAAAAGUCAUCUCUACUUUAUACAAAUAGAGUUCACCGGAAACAAAAUAGAGAUGGAUCUGAGGCUUAUUUUUUUCUUCUGAUUUUGACUGCAUGAGGGAAACCCAAUGAUUUAUACAGAGCUGCAGUCAGAUCAGAACGUCCAGCCUGGAUAACAGAAAUCCCUGUUGCUUAUUGGAUGACACAAAGAAUAAUUCUGUCACCCUGCUAUGGACUCCACCACAUUCUAGUCCUGAUGAUGGAAAAGAUGUUAGCAGAAGACAGAAAAUUAUAUGUGUGUAUAAUUAAAUAAGUUCUCAGCUCUUCUUCCCACCAUUAUUGGUUUUACUUUUUCUCUUUGUUACGAUGUGCUCUUGGAGAAAACCUGUAGGCCAGGGGCUUGGUGCUCCAUGCAUGGGAAGCCUGACUUCAGCUUUGAUUUACAGAAAAAUAAAAUCAUAAGUAAGAAGAAGCUGUAUUAUGUAUUUCUCUUUCUUUAUUUAAUAUAACAGAAGCAUUAUGACUUAAAUAACUUAGUUAUGACUUAACUUCAAAUGAAUUAGAAAACAUUUUUAGAAGAUCAAUUGAAAUGUUAACAUUUCUAGUCAAGAAAAAAAUGUGUUUACAGUUGUUGACAUUUUGCUCUAGUAGCUGUUUUUCCCCACUGUUGAAAAGAAUGGAUUGCAUCUUGUUUUGAUCCUAAUUUCUUGCAUUAAGUUUUAUCAAUAUUUUUCCUUAUUCUUUCUGUGUUCCAGACAGUAAUCGUGCUGCAGAGCCAAACUUCUGAUCCUAAUGAGUGUAACUCUACUGCCCUGUCUUUCCUUCUUACCCAUUUUCAUGAAUGUGUACAUGUAAGCCCCUCAAGCAGAAAGUCAGCACUUGGAGGUCAGUGAAAUCUCGUGUUGGUGUCACCUGCUUUAAUGCCUCCUUUACACUAACCGAGGCAUAGAGAGGUCAGAGGAUCUCAAUUUGCUGUCUCGCUUACAACAUACCCAUCUUAGCCAUCACAUUUACCAGAUCACAAAAUGCAUUUUUCAAAGCAGUUGUACCCUGCAUAGGAGUCACAACAUAAAUUUAUCUGGGAAAGAUGGAUUUGCAAUAAAAUUACUAACAAUCUAUGCAUCUUUAUAAAAACAGGAUCAAUUCUGAAGAAACUCCAUUUCUUUUAUUGCUCUGAUGACAUGGGAACUUGAAUUUCAAGACAAAUAUUUUUUGUUAAACACUAUAAAUUGUCAUUAGUGCAGCUCUGAAAUUUUUCUUUAAAGUGUCUUCUAUGAGGAAAUCAAAUCUUCUGGAAAGCAAAGCAUUUUGUAGAAAAGUUAACUUAGAUCAAUCUUUUCUGUAGAGGAAUUGAAAAGAAUAAAUGGUUGAAGAUUAUGGUUUCAUUAUUUCUGUAAUAUGUAUUUUCCUUGGGUUUUGGAUGCAAUUUAUAGUUUUAUUAAGACUUCAAAAUUGAAAAAAGAAAAUUUAAUUUUGUAAAAAGAAAUUUUAUAUUAACCUUAAAUGAAUUUUGGGUUUUUUUUCUUGUUUGUUCAGGCUUCCAUAUUGCAACAGGAAGUUCUAAAAAUCACAGAAAAUGUUAUUUUGGGAAGUCUGUAUUUGCUUACACUGUUUUGAUUUUAACAUGUGCUUUUGCUUGAAGCUAUGGUGAGGCUGAGAAGCUUGUUUUCACAACCUGCUAACUUAGGAAAAUUAGAUGCAGGAAGGGAGCUAUCUCCAAUGUGAGCAGUGCGGACAUCAGAGAGAAGAGUUGCAUAAGCCUCAGGGCAUGGUGAAACUGAACCUAAGCUCACCCAUGGAUGGCACUGACAUUAUUAUGGACCUUCUGCAAGGGCUUUUGUGUGAUACAGUGUAUGUAUAUAAUUGCUUUCUCGUGGUUUUCAAGAGACCAAAAGUCUUCAGGUAAGAGAAAAGGAAUAAUUACUUCCUAUGGAUGUGAUAUGGAGAAAUUAAGGUUAUACUUAAUGUCACAGGAAAUCUACAGAUAGAUUCAUGAUUAACUCAUUUUUCACGUUAUUACAGUUCCAUUUUUAAUUUGAUUUACACCUUCUUCAAGGCACAUGUACCUACAUGUCUUCUGAGGCGAACUUAUUGUUUUCAGUUUUUGUUUGUUCACUCCCUUGUUCUGCUAGGAGAACGAUGUCUAUAGAAGAAUCAACAUCCAUUCAUUCAUAAUUAUAAAACCGUGGUAUCUGAGAUACUACUGCAAUGAUUUUUCUGAAUAUAAGAUGUCCUUUGAAUAGCAACAGUCAUCAUUACAUACUAAUAAAAGUGAUAAAAGACUUGAAAAUACCUUCUGUAGAGGCAUCCCAUUUUAGUAAGUAUCAUCAGAGUGUAUUUUUCCCUAGCUUAAAACUGAGCACAUAGAUUAUGUCAGAGCAGUAUAUAAAUUCUUCUGAUGUAUUUUACAGUAUCAUAGUAUAAUGUUUGUACUUAUACCUAAUAAGUCACAGAGUCACAGAAUCAAGUGGCUCUGUCCCAAGACAGCCUGCACUUUUGUUUUUCAUUUGGUUGUUUUUCUUCCUCCUUCAUGGAGAAGAACAUCUCCUGAAGCUGGUGAUCUAUCAGUGUCAGUGGUAUGUGCAUGUAUAACACAUCCUGUAAGCUGGUACUGUGACAUUAGGUGCCCUCUUUGUAAAUCUCCUCUUGAAAUACAGAUAUGCUGUGAGAUGAUGUGAACGAUGAAAUGUUGUGGAGCCAGAAGGAAUCAUACCUGUUGAAGUGCAUCCACAGGAGGGCCAAAGGAAUGAUCCAAAGAGUUGAACCCCUUUGAGGGCAGGCUGAGAGCUGGGGCUGUUCAUCCUGGAGAAGAGGAGGCUCUGGGGAGACCUGAUCGCAGCCUUUCAGUAUCUAAAGAAGGGCUGUAAGUCAGAAAGGGACUAUACAUAUUUAACAGGGUCUGUUGUGAUAGGAUAUGGGGAAAUGGUUUCAGACUAAAAGAGGGGGGAUUUAGAUUGGAUAUAGGGAAAAAGUAUUUUGCAGUAAGGCAUUUACAGAGACAUUGGAGCAGGUUGCCCAGAGAGGUGGUGGAUGCUCCAUCCCUGGAGACAUUCUGGGUCGGACCAGAUGGGGCUCUGAGCACCCUCAUCUAGCUGUAGGUGUCCCUGUUCAUUGCAGGGGAAUUGGGCUAGAUGACCUGUAGGGGUCCCUUGUAACUCAAGCAAAAUCUAUGAUUUUUGUGUAAGAUAAUAGGAUAGUUGUAAGGGAUGGGAGAAAGUAAAUAAAUCAAAGCAGGUAUGUUAAUGCAUUCUUUUAUCCAUAACAUUCCCAUAAAGUGAAAGAUGGGGGAAUAUUGUUAGCUUUUUUAAAAUCAUUUAUUUAUUUAUUUAUUUUAAUAUUCCGUGUAUCAGUUGUGAAACUGUUCUUCAGAAAUAACUUGGGCAUUAGAAUGUAGUGUUUGAGAGAGAUCAGCAGUGCACUUCUACAUCUCUCUUUUGUGUUAUUUUCAAACACUUGGUAUAGAGACAAUUCACUGCACAUCUUAGGGGAGAGAGAAAUCUUUGUUCUUUUCCGAAGACUUGCCUUUAAGGAUGGCACCUACUGGAAAGAAAAAUUAAUCCUAUCUGUGUAAUUACAGGCAUUAUCAGUAGUGUGAGGAAAUGGGUUGUUUGGAUCUGAAUGCUCUGAUUUGAGCCAAUCUGUAAUUCAGGACGAAGCCAACUGUAACUCCUGAGAAGUGUUUGCUUUGCAAUUUUAUAAUGCUUUGUAUUGAGGUCUUCCCUAACUGCAGCCCUUCAGAAAGAAUGAGGUAUGGAAAGAAUGAUGGGCAUGAAAAUGCACAUGUAUAACAGUUACCCAAAUACACUGUUUAUUUUACUUGCUUAUCUAAAAAGUCUAAGCAAUUCUAAGUCUACAGUCUCAUAUCUCCUCUUUUAUUCUAUGGUAGAUCAGUAGCUGUCUUAAAUUUCCUUCUUCUAUUUUUAUUUUUUGCUUGUUUGAGGUUCAAAUUCAGCAGAAAAGAAUCUAAACUCAGAAUUUUGCUAUACAAGUAUAUGUUUGUUUAUAUGUGUAGAUAUGUGUGUGUAUAUAAGGAUAUAUACACAUAUGCAUGCAAAUAUAAAGAGAUAUAUAUAAGCAAAUAUAUACAUAUAGGCACACACACAACAUAUACAUGUAGACAAACAUACAGAUAUGUGUAUAUGUCUCCAGGGAGCAUGUAGUAGGUGGCUGGAAAUGAUGCUUCAAAAGCUUCAAUAACUCAAUCAUUGUUUUCUCUUUAUCUCCAGAUAGUGAACUUUUUGCUCAUCUGCUUCCUUGUAUAAUUGCAUUGGCUUUUUCCAUGAGUUGAUUUGAGUCUGUUCCCAGCUAAAUCAUUUGGGAAAAGAGUUUGGAUCUUCUCAUGUUACUGGGAUUGGAUAAAUUCAAGAAAUUCAUACUUGUAGGAUAAAAACAAAGAAAGAGAAAUUGCACUAGUUGCCUUGCUGUUUACUUCCCUGCAUAACUCUCUUUUUGGCUUCUUUAUUGAAAGUUUUCAGUGAUUCUAUUUUUUGUUUUCAGCCCUUUGGAACAGUGGUAAAAUAAAAUUUUAUAUUUUGUGAGUACAAACAGUAGACUUUACAGAGAAACUUACUUAGAUUUUCUUUCCAAUAUCAAAUGUUGUCUUUAGGCCAUGAUGUUUAAAAGGCCUGUGAAUUUUAUCUGACAUUUUUAGCUACUGAGGUUGGAUUAAAAAGUUGCUUGAAGAAUAGGAAAGAGAAAAUAUCUUAACAUAUAUAUACUAUACAAAAACUGAGACAUAAUUCGUGAUUAAAAAGGAGGUUGUAUAUUUUGAAUUACUUCAGUUGUGACACUUCGUGCUUUAUUUGUUUCAAUAAUUCAUUGUAUUGGCCUUAGAGCAUUGAUACUUCAUAGACACAUAUAAUAAGUGAUAACUGACUGAUGUUUUAAAGCCAUGAUUCAAGAACGUAUUUUGGCACAUGCUGAUGCCUGUUCAGGUAAAAAUAUAGUAAAUUUAAGCACUGUCUUGAAUGGAGUGAAGUGUUAGCUCACAUGCCUUCCUGAGCCAUGGUCAAAGUAAUACUCUCUGAAGUUAAACCAAUUGCAUUCCUCAUUAUUUUAGCACUGAAAAAUGAUCUCUAGAUCUCUAGACUUAGCUAUUUUGUUUCUGAGUGACUUCAUUUUAUUCAUACCAAAAAAAACUUUCCCCAAACUUAUUACCACUGGAAGGAGAACAAGAUAUUGGUAUCAAACCUUUGAUGCAUCUGGAACAAAACAUGAUCAGCAACAUGACUUUUGCAAUGUCAUUUCUAUGGAAAUGUCAAUAAGUAGGGAAGUAAAUUAAAUUAUCUUGUUGCAUCUUUUUUUUUUUUUUUUCUGUUGUUCUUUUCUAGCUGUGUGCAAAGGAAGAUACUCCGAACAUCUUAGUGUUAUGCCAGUGGCUGUCACUUGAAUGUCGUACAAAGUGGGCGUUAGAUCAGUAGGUCUGACACGGAAGAGGCAAUCUGCCUCAGUUCUUGAAAUGAGAGACUGAAAAUCAGCAGUGUCCCUUCAGAAACUAUGCCAGAGCAGAGGCCUCCCUGCCCAAGGGCAAACAGUGCUGCAGGAUGCUCGGCAGCAGCCCUCAGGUUUGGUCUCACCGCUGUGGCAGCAGUCCGCUAUUUGGGCCUGCCAGCAAUGCCCAGCCUGAAGGGUUUUAAUUGCUGGCACUGACUGCCUUUUUGUUUUUAUGUAUUCCCCCUCUCAGUGUGCCUUCCAUUAUGGUUUGUUGGCAGGUCUGAAAUGCUCAUAGUUUCAGCCGUGAUUGCUUUCAUAAGAGUCAUGAGAGAGUGCACCUUUAAUAUUAUCUGCACUGUAGGUAGAAAGCAAUAGUUAUCGUUGGCAGCAUGCCAAUGAAUAGAAAGUGACAUUUUAAAUGGACACUACUGGUGCAUCAAGCAGAUGAAAUUAAAGGGAGGCUGUGACAGCUAAUGAAAGGCUGGUAUGGGAAAUGUCCAGGGUGAAUGUGUUGUUUACUAGCAAGUGUACCUGAUUGGAUGAGGAUACAGCUGAUUGCAAUUCACAGUGGGAAUAAGGAGCUAUUGCGUGACAAAUGCAGCUCUCCCAGGAUGGAGUUAGUUAGUCCUUGCCUGUGGAGAUUCAUAGGUUAAGCAACAUCAUCUGAAGUGCCAUCAGCGGUGACUGGGGUUUCUUUGGCUGAGAAAGAACUUUUUGCUGCUUCACGUGGGGAAAGCAGCCUCUUGCAGCUCAUUUCCAGAGAAAAUGCACAAACACACAGAGAACAGGUUUUAGAAGCAGAAAAGCAACCAGGUAUCUUGCCUUCUCUGAAAAGGUUUAAAAAAUAUAUAUAAAAAUUAAAAGCCACCAUAAUAAUUGUUAAGAUUACGUAGUAAGUUAAGAAUAGUUAAUUGUAUUUGCAUAACUCAUGUCACUUGCCAACAACAGCAAAAACUGACUUACAAAAAAAAUGUUUGUGUAAAAACAUAAAGAAAUCUAAAUAGGCUUAAUAAAGCCUUUGUGCCAACUUCUGGUCUCUGUGAAGUGAGUAAGGUCUGUAGUGACCAGGAGUAAGGCCUCAGUGUGACCAAGAGUUGGAUCACAUUGGCUAUCAAGUGAUACACCACUGCUUUCAUCAGUGUAUUGGAUAGCAUAGUCAGUUUUGAAUACAGCUAUUUUCACAGGCAUUUAUAAAAUACUGAUUUUGAGAAAGGUAAAAAAAAUAAUUAAAAAAAAAGGUUGAAAAAUUUAUUUAAUGUGGCCUUUCUGCAUUUAUUUUUAAGUUUUUUUUUAAGUGAAUGAUACAUUUUUGAUUUGUUUUCUUUUGAGCCCAUUUUCAUUUAUAUACAGUCACAGUUCAGUGUUAAAAUUACAACAAAUGAAAGGCUAUAUUUUUUAAAAAAUCAAGCACUGUUGGCAUCCAGUAACUGGUUUCAAGCCAGAGCUCCCAGCACAGAGAUUCAACCUGGAUCUGCAAAGAUAUUUAGCAAAUGUUAGGAAUGAGGACUACAUGUGUCCUUGCAUUUUUUCAUGCUAAAAUAAAUGCUAUCACACUUCCUGAGUUUUCUGAGUACCUGCUAAGAAAGAAGGUGCAAGUUAAAAGUUAUUCUACCUAUAAGUAUUUCAGUAUAUAUAUGUAUGUGUUUGCUUAUGUAUGCAUAUAUAAAAAAUAUGAACUAUCUCAUGUUGUCGGCAGCAAAAUCCAAAAUAAUUUUAGAUGCACAGCUUUGCCAUUUCUCAGUGACUGAGCCAGGUAGUUGAUGAAACAGUGGAAUUUUUUCUUGGCAUAAGGUUUUUCCUUCCUUUGUGGAGCUGAGGGUCUGGCCAAUAUUGAACUGCUGGAUUCUGAGAGCUCCUAAAUAAUAUUGCACAAAGAAGAUCCAUGUCAUCCCAAGAAUCCUGCAUGGUUCUAUCUGCCAGUGGUUCAAGUUUCAACUCAUCGAUGGCAACUAUAGGAAACUACAAAAGAAGAGACAGUGAUGUUAUAAGCUCAUGAAAUAUAGCUAUAACUAGUAGAUAGGAUUGUUUCAAGGCAUUAUGUGAAGGGAAUUUGCAGGUACGUUCUUUUUUUCAAGCAGCUUUAUUCUUCUCAACAAGGACCUUUUACUAUUCAAUUAUUUAGGAUCAAGUUGUUAGUUGUGAUUGAACAGAAUUCAAAUUUAGAAACCAGUAGGCCAGUGAAAAUGAGAAACUGGGGCUUAGAAGAAAUAAGGAUUUGAGUCUACAAUUGAGUUCUCAUUCUGCCCAUUUUUUUUGGUUACAAAACCCAUGAGCAUGACUGGCAUUCAGAAGGCACUGCUAAGAACAAUUGUGUGGAUUUUCCAGCCUUACAACUGGCUCACCCUGCAAAGGGCAGAUGCUGAGACUAAUACUUUCCACAUACUGCUUAUCUGGAACAUUAAGAAGAAAUCUGCUUUUGAUUUCCUGUAACUUCAUCUGUUCCUGACUUGAUAGGGUAGUUGGAUAUGAUGAUCUUAAAGGUCUUUUCUAACUUAAGAGAUAUGAUGAUUCUAUGAUUCAACUUGGUCUCUGGAGUGAAAGGGGAACAAACAGAAAACCCCAGGCUGAUUUCUGGGUCUGGAAAAGGCAAAGACGUAGAUAAGAAAGGGUCACAGUGCUAAGGGUAUUAUCCCAGGGCUGCUUUGAAGGCUGGGAAAUCCCCACUCUCUGGGAGGGGAAGGCUACAGAAGCAGAGAUUGACUGGAAGACUUGAUUUUCUCUGAGUGUUCUGUGACCAUGGGGUGUAGGGCCAGAUAAAUCUGUAGAUGCGACAAUUCAAAUUUGAGUUAUAUUAACAACUGUGGCUGCAGCAUAGACAUUAAAACAUCAUUGAAAAGGAUCAGUGUCCUUUUCUAAGAAAUGGGCACAUAAAUGGGUCACAUAGAUGAGGAGCUCUGGAGCGUAUUUGGAUUCUCAUCAUUGUGCAGAAUACGGCUCUGUUGUGUGGAAUUUUUGCUUCAGUCACACAAAAACUGUUGAUUUAUUCUUAAGUACACAUUGAUUUCUGGGAGUAAUUUCUACUUGUUUGACAUUUUUAACAGAGAACUAAAAGAUUCCAUUCUUAUUAAAGGCAAACAGAAUUCUCCCUGAUGUGUGGCUUGGGAUUUGGGAGCCAUGUAGGGUGUUGAAGUGUCACUUGUCUACAGUAUUUCUUCCUGAAAUACUGUAUAUAUAAGCUGAUGAAAAAUUUGAAUGCAAGUAUUUUAACUGGUACAAAAAUUUAUUUUUUUCAUUUUCCGAAAAACAUUAACUUUGUCUGGAAAUUGCCAAAUGUAUGUAUGAGUCCAAACUUUUGCAGCAUAGUGCUUCAAACUGAAAUUUUAAUAGAUUAGCUAUGUUCCCUAAGGACGUAGGAAACCAUAGACAACAGAAUAGUAUAGAAAGUUCACAAAUUGAAAACUUAUCCUUUGCAGAGAGAUUGUUCAAAGUCAACUCCAUUUAAUGUAGAAGACAAGGAGCAUAAACAAUGAACUGAAGAUAUAAAUUUGUUUUCAGGCGAGCCAGGUAAAUGUUGUUUUCCUUUGUUUGCAUUUUAUAGAAACCAGAGAUCUUUUCUUAGUAUACACAGUAAAUUGAAAAUAUACAUGCUUAUUUACCAUCUGAAAAGAUUUAUGUUACUAUUCUAAGUGCAUUAAAUGUUUAGGUUGGAUGUGGCAGUUGGCAAAUGUCUGAGUUGCAGUAGGCAGGUGAAUAAUUAUUUGGGAAAAGUAAUUUGAACCAUCUACUCAGAGCACUUGAAUUGCAUUUCCUGUGUUUUCCAGAUGUAUGUAUUUCCUUGUGUAUGUUCACUUCUCCUUAAAUCAGAAAUCAUUUAGUUCAGAAGCAGUGUGGCUUUUUUCUGAUGACCAAAUCUGUAUUUAAAGCAAGACAACAACAAAAAUCUCUUCUCCAAACCAAAAUCUUAAGUAUUUCCAACUCAUAAGCAAGUAGAAAUAUCAUCUGGAAAAAAUCAGAGCACCUUGAUAAGCUUGGAUAUAUGGCUCUUAAGUGAUAUCUUUGGGUUAUAGAAGUCAAAUAGGAACAUUCAAUCAAUCUGAAUUUGAAAGCUCGUAAGGACCCUGAAGUAUUCGUGCUGACUUAUUCUUGUAGAGGAGAAAGGUCUAUUAAUACUUUCUUUUUGCUCCCUGCUCUACAGAUUCCUAGUUCGCCCCAUGUCAAUGUGCAAAGCAGAAUAAGCAUGUUGGGUAGGUGCAAGAAGGAAGAAAAGGAGUGGGGACCCGCUGUUUGAGAAACCGACACAACAGAGAGCUCCUGCAGCAUGCCUUGCAAACACGGCAGCAUGUCUCAGUGGACCUGUGGCAAACAGGCGACCUGUUACUGUAAAAUGACAAGCACAGCAUUAGCUAUUAUAGAAUAGUUGGCAGUAAAAAUCAUCAAACAAAAACAAGACCCAAAUAGAGCAGUUUAAAUUUCUCUUCAUUUGUCAUUCCUCAGUAGUGUCUUAGAUUCAUGUGCGGUUUCUCUACUUACGUGACUGGAGAAGGCAGUAGGAGAAUGUCACUCAUAGCCUGAUUAGCAUGAACUCCUUAAACUAAGGCUUCAUCUUUGACAACUGUGAUAUAAACUUAUUCUUCCAAGAGUAACCAGAGGACAGGUACCUAUAGACGCCAUCCAUCACCUUCACAUCUACUGACUCACUUGCAGCUGCCUUCAUAGACUUGCUUUGAAUUCCAUGACCUUGGUUAGAUUUUUCUUUUAAGUUUGAACUCUGUGCUGGUCAACUUCUGGCCUGAAUAAAAUUUUCUCAUCUUAACAGGAAGCUGCAGAGACAUAAUAUUUGAGAUAAAAUCUUCAUCUAGAUUUACUGUGUGUGUGCUUUAAAAAAAAAAACGCACUAAAAAUAGAGAAGUGAUGAUGAAUUUGCAAGAGUUCCUCAAAUCCCCGAGUAUGGCAUCAAUUUUUUUUUUUUUUGCUUGCUCUGACCAGGUAAUGGGCCUCCUUGAAAGCUGAAAAGGGCCAUGCUGAGAAUGCAGGGAAAGCGAUACUGAAGACAAGGAUGUUUGUGGGACAAGAAGCAAGGCAUACCAUAAUAUUACUCCCAUUCUCCUUGGACCACCGAUUUCAAGGAUGUUCGAAGCAAGAUACAGCUGCCUCUCCGCAGUCUGUUCUACAGGCAUUUAGAAGAAAUGGAAAGAAGGAAUACCCCUGAGGUGGAGGUCAUCCCUGCUAGAUCACAUUUGCCUGCUCUGAUUCACUCUCAGGAGGAGCACUGCAAAGAGAAGGUACCUCUUCAUACAGAUCUUGCUGGAUACAACUGGAUCAAUUGAACUUAUGUGAGAGAGAGGUACAAAGGAAGUAAAUGCAGGUACGUAGAUAAUUUACAGGAAAGUUUAGCCAAAGUAGCUAAGUUUUUACUAACAUACAAUUAGCUGAAAGUGAUGGAUUUUCUUCAAGUUUUGGGUAACUUACUAGUUAAUAUGCUGGACCAUUUUUCCUGAAUAUGUUCAGAACUGUGUAGGUUUUUGAGUCUUCUAUUUCUAAUAACAGACAGAGCAAAUUUUAAAGGAGAAGGAAAAAAGCAAAACAAAACACACACACAUGCAUACAAAAAAUGCAAAAACAAAAACAGCAACAAAAACCUCCAUUGGUGGGUUUUGGAAUCUCUUAAUCCUAUUUUUGCUUGUCUCAAUACCAUGUGCAUUUCCUGAAGGGGCUUGUGUGCUGAUCUGCACUAUUACCAUAUGUUCUACAUAUGAAAAUAAUUCAGUGAGAGUAGUUGUCUAUGUUUGUAUGCGGUGCAUAUACACAACAUACAAACACACACACACACAUUCUUAUUUAUACUCAUAAAUCAUUGCUUUCAAGAACAGAUGCCCUUCUACUGCUCUGUACCUCAGUGUUUCUACACUCGAGAGUGCCUUAAUUUGGAAAAAAUUGCAACUGUCACAGCUCUGCUGCAGUAAUGGUUUUGUAAGAACCAACUUAAUAAAAACAUCAAGCCUCUCUGUUCCAAACAAUUUUAUUAUAGUUAACAACUCAGCCAGUUAUCAAAUAUGUUGUCACCAAUGCACUCUGUCUUCGUGAAUGAUGACAUGGACGAGCCCUGGAUUUCUGUAGUGCUUUACACAUAUACACAGUGCCUUACAGCUGUGUAGCAGCGUUUCCUUAAGGAAUAAAACUGCACAGGAAGUAGAUAGAUGAACCAUGUGAUAACUAUUUUUUGAUGAAAAGCUUCUACAGACAUCAAAUUAGUUUACCUGAAAUAAUUUAAACAACAGUAGAAUAAUUACAAAGUCCACUGUCUGGACCUUGACUUUUCUGAAACAAGCAUACAAUUUUUAAUAAUCAUGACCUUCACCUUCAGCUCUGACCUUUGUCUCUCCAAAACAUACCCCUUUGCUGUAUAUGCAUGGAUGUCUUAACAUGAAUAACCUCCUUAAUGUAGAUACUUAUAUAUCUAAACUUCACAGAGACUUUUAUGUGCCUUGAAUGUAGUUUCUAUGUAAAGUGUGUGUUCAUGUAAAAGCCAUAGUUUUCCACUUAGUACUUUUUUUCAUUAAAAGCACAUUGAUGUCACCUGCACUUUGCCCAGUGGUAAAUCUCUGUUUGAAAUAUGCUGCCUUUUUAUUGUUAUUUUUCAAGAAUAUGCUACAGAAAUGUUCUCUGUGCAUCAGAUGAACAUGGAGCUGGGUAUUAUGCUACACAGCCUUGUACUGAUAUGCAGUUUUCCUCCACUGUUUAAAUGUCUGAUAUUUCAGGGACCAAUUGGUUUAGAAAUUGAAGCUAAGAAACGUUGAAUUGAGAACUGUGACAAAAUGUCAGUUCUGUAGAGUUUUACCUUUAGAAAACACAACUGAGUUUGACUCACUAUGUUUUCUGGUAACCAGCGAAUAGAAAAUGUGUUCUUACUGAUUUUAUUUUAUUUUAUUUUUUUCCUAUCUCCAGAGACACAUUCAGUGUAUGGUAAACUAAAGCCAUUAUAUUAUUCCAGAAAACAGAUGUGAUAAUUAAGAACAGGAAUAAGUUUCAAAAUUCAAUGGAAAAAAUAGUUGUCAAGUUUAUUUCUGAAGAGAAGCACAAACAAAAUGCAUGCCAAUGUGUGGAUGAUUAAUGGGGGAAUUUCCAAGGUCUUUCCAUUAGUUCCUUUAUACUGCUGUACACAAUCAUGCAUGCUUUGUAUGGCCAUCAUAACUUUACGCAAUAUACUUGACCAUAAUGCCAAUCAACAGUUUCUCCUGGCAAACAGAAAGUGUUAAGAACUUCAAUAUAAGAAGACUUUUUCUGCUUCAGAUGGAAUGGAUUCUGUUUGUCAUUAUUCACUUCCUCCUCAACUUGCUCAGUGUGCAUCUAAAUUAAUUCCUGUCACUUAGGUGCUCUCUUGAUAAAUACACGAUCUAUAUUUAAUGUCUCUUUAUUCUCAUUUUAUUAUACUUGUAUGCAGUAGUGAAAGAAGAUAAUGGGCAGAGCAGUGUACCACAGCAGAGAAUUUGAUACUGCUCCUUUUCACUUUUUGGUGGAACAGCUAUAUUUAGCAACACAGACUGUCAGCCACAAAUUGCCUACCUAUGUGCUCACUUUUUCCAAUCCGUGAUAUAGAAUUCUCUGUACUACAUUGAUAAAUAUCACCACGUUUCACCCAUACAGCUAUAGUAAUUGUUUCCAUAGUAACUGAUUAAUUUACAAAUGUUCUGAACUGGAAGAUUAAUUGGAAGAGGAGCAGAGGCGUAAAUCCAGUAUAAUAGGUGCUUGUGUGGGUGCUGUAAGGCUUUUGUUGCCUGUGCCAUAGGCAGUGCUUUAGUUAAGGAAAAUGAGGGGUUGAAAUUCAAUAUUUUAGGUGAGGUGUGAUUUACAAUUGCAAACAUAUAGGAGUGCAGAAGUCAAAAUAAUAAACCUUUGGUAAAUUUGCACACUCCUCCAUUUGCUACAUAUAAUUAUUUCCUGUCUGUGGUAUUAAUUCCUUGUGAGUAAAAGUUUCUCAUAGCAUGUCCUGCUUCAGUGUUGCUAAGUUCACCUAUUGAAUGCAGUUGGUUGUGUGGUGUUAGUUGUUUUUCUUUGUUUGUUUUAUUUAUAUACUUUGUCUAAAAAGCCAUUGAGUUUUUCUGUUAUGGGCAAGGAAAUUUAAAAGUUCCCAUUGUUUUUCAGUGCAGUAAAAAUAUAUUGAGAACUUCCAGUGCAUGCAGGCUGCAUUUAGCAUAAACAGGAAUCACAACAAUUGCUCUUUGUAAAUGAAAAAUCACUUGAAUUUAUGGCAUUGUUUUUUUGAUGUUUCUCUUCACAAAGAGGAAGAUAUUGCUGAGGCUACGAUCAUGGAUUUCCUUGCAAGACUGUCUUCUAGGCUCUUGGUUCUCUUUAGUUGGUGCAAAGUAGUUAUGGUAACUUACAGUGCAAUAAUUCACAUAUCCCACAAAGUUUAUUUGUUUGCUAAAAACAAACUACCUUUUUCCUCCCAGUACUUUGAAUCUCUUCUCGGGCACGCCAUUAGUGAAGUGCUUUCUUUCCAAAUCUGGAAAAAAAAAACAAAACACCAUCAAAUUGAGACUUAAUUUUAAGCUAUUUCUGAACGGAAGUAAUGAUGAAAAUAUGAAUGUUUCACCACGUUGUGAAACAUACAAGUAACUUGGAUUUAAAAACCUGUUUUUACAGCCUGUGCUUUCUAUGUUUAUGUGCUCAGGUCUUGGGGCAGCGAAGGACCCCUUACUCAAACUGUAGGCGCUACAAAUGAGCAAUGCAGUCUGGCCAAAUCUCAGUGACCCCCUCCUGCAGAGCUCAGGCUGGGCACUGUACAUUCCUUUCUGAUACUUUGGUGCUCCAGGAGGAUUUCCAAAAUCCUUUUUCCUGGGUUGGGUGCCUUAUUGAUGUCAAAAAACAAUGAAUAGAAUAGAUAUAGGAGAAAAAGAGGCAGGCACUGUGGGCUCGGUUUCAGGUGUUCAAAGACUCAUAGAAAAAGAUUCAUUCUGAAAAGUGCAUGCAAAACAUGAUUAUUUGGAAAAACAAUUAUUUGGAUUCAUUGAUGUUUAACUAUUCAGAGGGCAUCACUUGAGUUUAUGAAAAGUCAGAAAAAGUGCAGGAGAUACUAGGAUGGAUGCAAGUUUGAGGAAAGUAUCUUUGUUUAUAUUCUGGGAGAUGGGAAAAGGUGACCUCAAUUUUGAAGUUUCUGCUUCAGGCCAAUGUUAACGGCCAGAUCAUUAUGUUGCAUAAAAUCUUUUUACAGCAAUAUGCUAUUUCUAACUUUUUAAAAUAUUGUGCAGGCAUAAGGACCAAAUGCCACAAUGGUUUGUUAAUAAAAUUGCCACUUUGCCUAAUACAAGACUAACUCAAAUAAUGUGGAAAACAACAUUUCAAAGUCUUUCAAAUACCCCUUCCUGAAGUAUACAUGUAAUUAAGGCUGACUGAUCUUGCAGUUAGUUAUAGUAGGUGCUGAAGUUAUUUUCUUCCCUGACAAAAGGCAGAAUGGAUGAAAUCCUCUCAGAGAUUUCCUGAUAAUGGUGCAGAUUGUGUCUUUGAAUGAGAGACCCUGAAGUUAUACAGCACUGAUACUCCAGCUGUUCACCUUCUAAUCCCCCAGGUCAGGAAUCGGUCUGUGAUUCACAGGCUUCUGCUGUCCAGGCAUGCACAAAACAUACAGUCUCUCCCCAUUUUGAUAUUAGGCUGCCUUUGUACUUGCGAGCUGAGCCUGGUUUCAUGCUGCAUCUCUUCGCAGAACACCUGCAACUCCUUUAGGUUGUUGUAAUUCCACAGCACAUCACUCUAUUUUGCCAGCAAAAAUAUUGAGUUCAGGCACAGCUGCAUCAAUUAGCUCCUCAAGUCUGCAAAUAGUGAUACUGGUGACAUUUUUUUGGAUGAAUGAGGGACCUACUGGCAAGUACAUAAAUGAAAUGAUCAACAUUCUCUUUCAUGUUUCUUUGUGUUUAAACAUUCUUUUACCAUCGUGUACUUUGAAAGUGACAGUCUUCUGCCCUUAGCUCAUAAAACACUAACAAAUAUUUUGCAUCUGUCACUACCAUGCUUCAUAGAUGCACAGAUGUACAUGCUGAUUAAAUAUACAAGGGCUGCUCUGAAAGUUAUGCCUCCUACUUUAUUAUAUUGGCCCAUGAGAUAAAUGUUGGUGUUACGGCAGUAAAGGUUGAACCUUCCCAAGAAUAUUCUGUUACAUUUUGCUGCCAUGCAACAGAUGGCAGCAGAGGGGCAGUGUGACAAAAUGGCAUCUGACAUGGAAGUGCAUGUGAAAAAAGGGGUGUUAUUGAAGUCCUCCAUACAGAACAAAUGACACCCACUGACAUUCAUCAACACUUGCUGAACAUCAGUGGAGACCAAACAAUGGAUGUGAGCGCAGUGAGGCGGUGGGUGGUCUGUUUUAGCAGUGGUGACAGUUAUAUGAAAGAUAAGUAUGGCAUGCAAGCCCUUGGCAAAAAUGCAUAGCUAAUGGUGGUGCUAAAAAUAGCUUUCUGUAGCUGAGAAUUCUCUCCAUCAAAUAGUGUUAUUGUGCUCUUUGUAUCUGUUGUAGUUUCCAUGGAAAUUAAUGGGAGACAUUACUUCCAGGGUGACCUAUAUGUAUAAAUAUGUAUUUACCUUGGUCAGAGAUAACUGAUAUUUUGUGAUACAAACUACUUUAUUAUACAACUAGUGUCUUAUGAUCACUGAAUUUCAUUAUGUUGUUGUUAUCCUGUGCUGUUCCAGAUAGUUUCUCAUCUUGUUGUCUUUCCACAGAUACCCAGCCAAAGCCAAAGGAACUAAAGCUCACUGUAUCAUUAGGAGGAUGAAUCCCUCCUGUUGCUUUAUUUCUUUUCCAUUUGUUUGUUUUUUCUUUUUGUCUUUUUUGUUUGUUUUUGUCUUUUCUCUUUUUGGUAACUAAAAUCCAGAUCUACUAGGACACAUUUUGAAGAAAAAAAUGUUGGAAUGAUGGGGAAUAUAUCCAUCAACAAGAUGAGGAAAAUAGGAUCAAAGCCCAGGAAAGAGGAAGUCAGCUGGGAGGACUGUGCAGGUUAAUGUAGAGAUAAAGCAAAUCUUCUGAACGUUUGCCCCUAGCUGGAGCCCUGAGAGACAGGAGAGUAUACAUGCAUUAGACAUCUACUCUACCCGGCUGAUUUCAGGCAAUGAUUUGGAACAGAAGAUAUGAAGAUAUGAGCUCUGCCCUGCUUGGCUUGACACAGAAAAGAGAUUUUCUGUUGAUAUCACUGUUGGGUAGAACUGGUGCUUGACGUUUUCAUUAAAAUAACAGAUACAGCUCUACUUGCUGCUGUAGCUGCAAACUCCCUUGUUUAUAUUGCCUCUGUUUUACUUUCAGGGCAGGAACAUCCCCUUGGUCCUCAGACUGUUUAGAUUCAGGGAAGCAGUGAAUGUCAGUGUGUGUGUAUGUAUUCAGUUCCCUCUCUGUACAUUUAGAAAUUGUAAAGGGAAAUUUAUUGUGAAGAGGGAAAAAAUAUAGGACUGGUUUCUGUCCCUGUGCUAAUAUCAUGGUAUUAACAUAGGUGAAUUGCUGCUGGUUGAUAUGAGCCUGGCUUCCAAGAGGACAUUCUUGUAGCACCUUGAUUGCCUGGGCCACCCCUCCAAGGAGGCUCAGCAGGCAGCCUCAGCCUUUCUUGUUUGCUGUUUUGUUGUUUCAGUUCUCAGCUGGAGAUUAUUUCUUCUUUCUGUCUCCUCUUGAUACAUGAAUGUGCUGUGUCAGGCUUGCCUUCAGGUCAGUGUCCUGUGCAGGCCUCGCCAUGGUGUCAGCAGUAAGCAGAUCUGAGAAGGCCAAAGGCAGGGCAUCAAUGGAAAAUGAGCCUAACAAAUGGGAAGUCAGGCUGGAUGGCCAGCCAUAAUGUCUUUCCUCUCACGAAACAUGACAGAAAGGCACAACAGAAAAGGCUGCUUUUCCUUAUCUUUAGCCUUUCACCUGGGUUUGUUUUUUCCUCUGUCCUAAUGGUUCCUUGUCAGCUUUUUCUGUGUCCUGACUUCCUUUCCCCUGAGCCUCUCUUGAGAGGCAGAGGAACAGGGUCUGAGCAAGGCAACAGUGGGCAACAAGCUAUAAAUUUGACAGAUUAUGAACGUGCUUCAGUGUGCUGUGUAACCUGUAAAUCAAAACCCAUUUUAAGACCAGCAAUGAAUCCCUGUAUAUCAAAAAGCAGGAGAUGUUAGAAUAGGCAGUUGCUGCCUCUUACAAUAGCUCCUCCAGAAACACAUUGUGCAGAGGGUCUUGUAUUCAUCAUUAAAAUUGUUUUCUUUCUUCCAUUAGCUGCUAUGCAGCAUGUAUGUAUUAGAAGUCAUGGCUAGUAUGACUUCAUUGAUAAAGCUCCAUUGUAUCCAACAUGAAAAGAGAAUAAAAGAGGUAAUAUUCUCUGGCAUAUCAUGUGGACUCUCUUUUUACAGCAUGGACUUCAAGGGACAGAAAUGUCUCUCGUUAGGUUUUCUUCUCUGCUACUGAAAUCCUGGUGAAAUCCAAGCUCACAAAUUGAGCUUAAAACUGAAAGGGAGUUGAGCACGUCAAAAUGCUUCAUAAACCAAAGGCACAGCAAAGUUUCAGAGAUAUGUUUAAAAUAUGUACAUCUCUUUGACUGAUACUUUAUAGUGAGAGACUGUCACUGUGGGCAGACAAAAAAUUACCCUUCUCUGCUUCAGCAGACCAACCCACAUCCUACCUGGUUAAGUUCACUCCCUCAGCAAGGGAUGUGGAUGGGGACCGCUUCUGGCAGCAAGGAAGGAAGGCAGCAGUCUGUAUUUCCCCACCUCCCUUCUCCUCUCCAGACUAAGAACAAGCACUGAAGUGCGGGACAUGAGGUAAAUGCAAUCGCUAUGAAUUAAAACUUCAGCUCCUUAAGUGCUUUUGUUACUAUUUGGUCAUCUGUUUAUUUUCCCAAGAAAGCUGAACUAUCCAGAGGAUGCUCUGAAAAGAGGGGCUACCCAGAAUUGGGUAUCUGAUGGGCCUGAUCUUGAAGCCAAGAGAAACUUGGUGUAGUAGUUUACCUGACCAGAGGUAAACAAAGGUAAACCAGAGGAAAACCAUUUAAAAAACACUCACCAUGGAGAUGCAAACUACCUAAAAAUGCCAGAUGCAGACGAGAAUAUUUGAAAUCAUAAGACAAGAAACCAAUUUCUGUUUUAGUGAUUCACUGACUACCUAAGAGCACUGUAUUAGUGCAGUAGCCAUCAGAAGCCAACACAGACAAAAGAAGCAUUGUAAUUCAUCAAAGUUUAAAUACCAGAGCUAUGCUGAAGGGCAUCUAAGCCAUCUGUAAAAGAAGACUUCAGUCACUGCAAAGCAGGUUGCAGAAAAUAACCAUUUCCAGAAAUCAGAAGAUUUUUUCAUGGAAAGACUUCAGUAGAUCAUGAUAUCGGAGCUGUCUCAUACAUUCCAGAGUACCAGCAUCAAGAUCAGGUUGAAGAUACUAGACUAAUGUGUCAGUACAAUAGUUUGGGCUUUGAUACAUGCUUGCCAAAUCAGUAAACUACGAGGAAAAUAGAAAAUAUUUCAGAUAUUCUGAAAGUCAUUACCUCUGAACUGUAUCCUGAACCACUGCUCACUCAGGUACUUACAUACACACCUCACUCAGGUGAGGUCUUCCAUAAAAAAGAGCUCAACAAACUCCAGGGUCUUAACAGCCUCCUCAGGAUCAACACAUAGAGACAACCUCUUAUUUACAGCUGCCAGCCAAGUGUUGUGUCAUGUUCACCUCUUUUUAAGCAGUGCUUAUGGACUUCAGGGAAGUUAGGGAUCUAUUUCUAUGGGGAGAACAAGUCAGAUAAGUCUGUGGUUAUUGUCUUCCUUGCUUUCUGGAGGACAUUGUUGCAGGACUUUUACUGUGCUUUCCAUAUGACAUAGUUGCAGAGGCAGGCAGACCAUGGCCUGUGUGGGAUGGGAAAGUAUUUGGUACACAAUGAUUCCUUUGGGAUUGUGCUGUCUAGAAGAUGGAAGAGGGCCAGGAGAGAUCAAAGGUGCAGUAUCUGCUAAAAAAUAGUGAUUACAGCUGUGCAUAUAUAUGGCUGUGGGGGGUAUUCUGUUUUCUGUUUUGAUUUACUUAUUAGGCUGUUAGGAAACAUCAUUUCAAUUUCAAAAUAAUUUUUUAAAUUAGAAAUAUUCUUUCUUACUCAAACAUAGAUGUCUUUCUGUGUGUGUUUAUGUCGUUGCAGAUUCCUCACAUUUUAAGGGUAAACUUAGGUUCGUAUGCAUUUACAUUAUGAAAAUUUGUGUAAACCUGAAAUGGUUUACUGAAAGGGAAACAAAAAGAAUUGUAUAAAGAUUCAUGAUCUCUCACUGGUCUUAUUUUAACAAGAAACUAUAAAAG